rnacentral:lncRNA from 1 species
CAACACUUUACAAUUUGUAUUUGGCUUUGAACAAGCAAACAAGAAAUUAGCUGUGAAUAGGUAAAAAUUCAGAUGUAAGAAACCCCAAAACAAUCAGUAGGACUCUGGAAGACUUCUGCAAAGUGAAGACAGGAGUGUGGAUCACGUGUAUAAAACUGUGGUAUUUGAACAUAAAACAAUGGGAUUUGAAGUUGGCAUUCUAGAGCAGCUCCUGAAUCCAUACGGCCUGAUCUUCUGUGCAGAAUUUGACUCCUGAUGAUAAUUUUUUUACAUCCUCAUGGAGUGUUUUAUCGUGGAACAUCGUGCUGCCAUCUGGGAAGAAAAACACGAUGGUACAGGAGCAGCUGGUGAGUGAGAAUGGCCAAAUAAACAUUGGCACUCAUCUGCCAUUAGGUGAGAUAAGAGGGCUGAGGCCAAGCCA